AUAGAUUAAGUUAUUAAGGGCGCACGGUGGAUGCCUUGGCACUAGAAGCCGAUGAAGGACGUUACUAACGACGAUAUGCUUUGGGUAGCUGUAAGUAAGCGUUGAUCCAGAGAUUUCCGAAUGGGGGAACCCAGCAUGAGUUAUGUCAUGUUAUCGACAUGUGAAUUUAUAGCAUGUCAGAAGGCAGACCCGGAGAACUGAAACAUCUUAGUACCCGGAGGAAGAGAAAGAAAAAUCGAUUCCCU
rnacentral:rRNA from 1 species